AAAGGCUUCUCAACAGUUUUUACCCCCAAGCCAUAAGACUCCUGAACAGUGAUCUGGCGAUGGCUGUGGCCAACCUAGUGCUGCUCUUCUACAGCUCUUCAGGCCCAGUCAGCAGAGGAGUGGUCAGGGAGAUGUUACUCAGCCCCCAUGCCCAGAAGCUAUAUAUAUAAUGGACCAUUAUCAUGCACCUGUAUCGAAACGGGCAGCGUGAAAAAAUACAUGUCAUCUAUGUACUUCAAUAGUGAAUGGAGGACACUUUCCAUGUGGUUUAUUUUCAUGCCAGCCAGGACCUGAGCCUUAGGACCAUGCAUCAGGACUACCUGGCCUGAUGACUCCUGCCUGUCCCCAGUUCACUUGGUCGGGCUGCUUCUCCAGUUUCAACUAUUUUAUCUGUGGCUAUGGAACCCUAACCUGUUCCCUGGAUAUGCUACCUUGUCCCGGACCUGCUGUUUUCGUCUCUCUCUCCCCCCCUGAGACGGUACAGAGCUGCUGGGGGUCAACUCACUCAUGUCUGGAGCUUUCUGUGGUCAUGAGUUGAAGCCAAAGUACAAGGAGAUCUUCAGCUGAACUGGAGGAAGAUAAUGAGAGGAGGAUAGCGCUCUAAUACUUUCUGCUCCUCCUCAUCAGCCUGUCUGUCACUUCAGAUCUGCUGACAGAGAUCCAGACAGCUAGCCUGCAUGCGCUAGCAAAUUCCACUCCAUCUCUUUACCUCGUUAACUUGGCAAUGCUCCUUCCUUAAAAGACACAGCAUCUCGCCAAAUCUCCAGGCAGCAGGGUGCUACCACUGGACCCUACAGUGUGACUCAACAAUGGAACUGUCUUAUAACAAUACUAAGUGAAACAAAGAGCCAUCCUCUCUCUCUCUUACUCAUCAGAACCAAAUGAUUUUCAGACCUUAUUCAGGGUAAUAAUGAUAUUCAGUGCCAGUGAUACAUAAAGAUGAUUUAUUUCAAUGAAUGAGUGUAAAUGAAACCAUGAAAAGCAAUGGACAUAACAGUUGAUGAGAACACAAAAUUACAAGUCUAAAACUAAAUUAGACUUGUAUAUACACUAAAUGUAUAUACCCUACUGAUCAAAAGUUUUAUAUUAUUCCAGGGUUUUUCUUUAUUUUUACUAUUUUCUACAUUGUAGAAUAAUAGUGAAGACAUCAAAACUAUGAAAUAACACAUAUGGAAUCAUGUAGUAACCAAAAAACUGUAAAAUAAAUCAAAAUAUAUUUUAUAUUUGAGAUUCUUCAAAUAGCCACCCUUUGCCUUGAUGACAGCUUUGCACACUCUAUUUUAGAAAUAAGGCUGUAGCUUAACAAAAAAAGUCAACGGGUCUGAAUACUUUCCGAAUGUAUCUGUUUCAAUCCAGUCCAGGCCACACUACCGGUCCAUUGGUUAUCUGGUAAGAUAGGGACAUCUAGUGGUGUAAAAAGAGGACAGCCCAUAGAGGACAUCCUACCAAACCUGUCUGUCAUUGGGGAUGUUGUAAUCUCAGUUAACGCAGAACUGAAGUCUCGUGUAAUAGAACCCCACAGUGGAGGUGUCAUAAUAGCCAUAAAACCUAGGGGUCAAACAGGGAAAUGGUUCUAAUAGUUUUUCACCAUUCAAUUUUCUCAUAGGGGAUUUUAGAAACACUUAAAAUAAGGACUGUGUUUCCCAUAGGUUUACCCUGGUGUGAUGUUUUGAUAAUUGAUUUGAAAAUGGGAAAAGUGAAUGGUAGAAAAACAAUUGGAACCAUUUCCAUCUUUGACCGCUAGGUUUUAUGGGUAUUAUGACCCAAACUGUUGUACUCUAUUGGUCAGACGCUCAAGGUUUAUUUAGUCUGUUCAAGUGUGGAAAGCCAUUAGAACAUAUAUUCCUUACUUUUUUCAUAUCAAUAAUUGUCUUUUCUUUAUAUCAAUAAUUACAUUUUUCUAUAUAAAAAAAAUAUUUAUCAAAUCUAAAAUGUUUUUUUUAUAUCAAUAAUUUACAUUUUCUAUCAUUUUCCUUUCACUUUCAAAAGGUGGAGUAGGUUGUAUACAUUAGUAGGAAAAACAUCUCAUUUAAUAAAACAUUUUAUUGAAUUUUAA